rnacentral:rRNA from 1 species
GAGCGGAGUUAUACGCUGACAAAGCCCUUCGGGGCUGAGUCUUGUAUAACUUAGCGGCGGACGGGUGAGUAACAGGUGGAUAAUCUGCCCUUUGCUGUGGAAUAACAAUCGGAAACGGUUGCUAAUACCGCAUAAGCCUACACUGUGGCAUCACAGAGUAGGAAAAGAUUUAUCGGCAAAGGAGGAGUCCGCCCUAUAUUAUAUAGUUGGUGGGGUAAAGGCCUACCAAGUCUGCGAUCUAUAGCCGAACUGAGAGGUUGAUCGGCCACACUGGGACUGAGACACGGCCCAGACUCCUACGGGAGGCAGCAGUGAGGGAUAUUGCACAAUGGGCGAAAGCCUGAUGCAGCAACGCCGCGUGAAGGAAGAAGGUUCUCGGAUUGUAAACUUCUAUCGAUGGGGACGAAAAAAAUGACGGUACCCAAGUAAGAAGCCCCGGCUAACUACGUGCCAGCAGCCGCGGUAAU